CAAGUGAUGAUUAUUGGAGGUAGAGCACUGUUUGGACGAGGGGCCCCUCUCGGGUUACCGAAUUCAGACAAACUCCGAAUGCCAAUUAAUUUAACUUGGGAGUCAGAACAUGGGUGAUAAGGUCCGUGUUCGAAAGGGAAACAGCCCAGACCACCAGCUAAGGUCCCAAAAUAUAUGUUAAGUGGAAAAGGAUGUGGCGUUGCCCAGACAACUAGGAUGUUGGCUUAGAAGCAGCCAUCAUUUAAAGAGUGCGUAAUAGCUCACUAGUCGAGUGACACUGCGCCGAAAAUGUACCGGGGCUAAACAUAUUACCGAAGCUGUGGAUUGUCCUUUGGACAAUGGUAGGAGAGCGUUCUAAGGGCGUUGAAGCAUGAUCGUAAGGACAUGUGGAGCGCUUAGAAGUGAGAAUGCCGGUGUGAGUAGCGAAAGACGGGUGAGAAUCCCGUCCACCGAUUGACUAAGGUUUCCAGAGGAAGGCUCGUCCGCUCUGGGUUAGUCGGGUCCUAAGCUGAGGCCGACAGGCGUAGGCGAUGGAU
rnacentral:rRNA from 1 species